GCAUAUCAAUAAAGCGGAGGAAAAAGAAACCAACAGGGAUUGCCCCUAGUAACGGCGAGUGAAGCGGCAACAGCUCAAAUUUGAAAUCUGGCGCAAGCCCGAGUUGUAAUUUGUAGAGGAUGCUUCUGGGUAGCGACCGAUCUAAGUUCCUUGGAACAGGACGUCAUAGAGGGUGAGAAUCCCGUAUGUGACCGGCCCGCACCCUUUACGUAGCUCCUUCGACGAGUCGAGUUGUUUGGGAAUGCAGCUCUAAAUGGGAGGUAAAUUUCUUCUAAAGCUAAAUACCGGCCAGAGACCGAUAGCGCACAAGUAGAGUGAUCGAAAGAUGAAAAGUACUUUGGAAAGAGAGUUAAAAAGCACGUGAAAUUGUUGAAAGGGAAGCGCCUGCAACCAGACUUCGCGGCAGUGUUCCGCCGGUCUUCUGACCGGUUCAUUCUCUGUCGCGAGGCCAUCAUCGUCUGGGCCCGCCGGAUAAGACCUGAGGAAUGUGGCUCCCCCUCGGGGGAGUGUUAUAGCCUCUGGUGAUGCGGCGUGGCUCGGGCGAGGUCCGCGCUUCGGCAAGGAUGAUGGCGUAAUGGUUGUCGGCGGCCCGUCUUGAAACACGGACCAAGGAGUCUAACAUCUAUGCGAGUGUUCGGGUGUCAAACCCCUACGCGUAAUGAAAGUGAACGGAGGUGGGAACCGCAAGGUGCACCAUCGACCGAUCCUGAUGUCCUCGGAUGGAUUUGAGUAAGAGCAUAGCUGUUGGGACCCGAAAGAUGGUGAACUAUGCCUGAAUAGGGUGAAGCCAGAGGAAACUCUGGUGGAGGCUCGCAGCGGUUCUGACGUGCAAAUCGAUCGUCAAAUUUGGGUAUAGGGGGCGAAAGACUAAUCGAACCAUCUAGUAGCUGGGUUCUGCGAG
rnacentral:rRNA from 1 species